UUUACGGAUAUACAUAUUUUAGCGCAUAUUUUUUGACAGAUUUGAUUAUAUAGGUUUCAAGUUUAAGUUUGCCGUGUUUUGUAUAUAUUUUAUAACUGUUAUGACAAUGAUUGUUGCGCGUUUCAGCCGUGUUUAAUUUUACGACUGUCAACUGUGUCAACUUUUCAUUGGGAGCCAUUGCUCUGUAGUCUGUUUAGGGUUAUUUAUUGUGUUUUAUUUAUGUUAUGACUGAUGCUAACUACCAGCUUUUUAAUUUUUUUAUUUCUCUGGACCUUAGAUGAACAAGGAAGAGUUAUGAAAAUGAAGAAGAUGGAUUCAUUUGGGCGCUUAUGUCAGAGCAGAUUCUCACUUGAUACCAAAAUGCACUUAUUUUGCACAUCUGAGGCUGUAAAUCUGCCUCGCUGUCGUACCUCUGGUACCAAAACUGAUAGAAAAUCAACCCAACUGAGAACAUGUUGGCUCCAGAUGAAAGGAAAUUCCUGGACCAAGAGAUGAUCUUAUGACACAGAUACACUUCUGCUCCAAUUUGAUGGCAUAUUUCCCCCCCACCCCCAAGUGCUCUGCAGAUCAAAAAGGCCACGUUAUAAACUGUGUUUAAUGUAACUCCGGGUAGAACCAGGGUUCUGUUCGCCAUCUUUCACUCCAUCAGGUUGACACACUGUUAGAAAGUUCAUGACAGGACCACCAAAACACAUUCAAAAAUAACCGAGGACAAACUGAACUUCCGCAGGAAUCAAUGCAUCCUGAUGCAAUCCAAGUGUCGGGUUUGCUGCUCAUCCAGGGGAGUGAGAGCACUGCCAUUAAUAAAGAGAGGGAUCAAAACGCCAUUCAAGAGCAGAUCGGUCCAGCAGUUCAGUCACAGUUUGGUAACAAUCGCUUAUUUUCCACCAUAAUGGAGGCUUAUGUUACAAAAUGGCUGACAGAUCAGCCAUAUUUUAACCUCCAGUUGGUUUUCAAAAGAGGUCCUUAAUUUAACAUAUUGGUGGAUAAAAAAAGUGUUUGUGGUUCUGUA